CGGAGUGUAGCGCAGUCUGGUAGCGCACCUGCUUCGGGAGCAGGGGGUCGGAGGUUCGAAUCCUCUCACUCCGACCA
rnacentral:tRNA from 11 species